ACAUGCAAGUCGAACGCUCACCUUCGGGUGGGAGUGGCAGACGGGUGAGUAACACGUGGGAACGUACCCUUUGGUUCGGGACAACUCUGGGAAACUGGAGCUAAUACCGGAUACGCCCUUUUGGGGAAAGGUUUACUGCCGAAGGAUCGGCCCGCGUCUGAUUAGCUAGUUGGUGGGGUAACGGCCUACCAAGGCGACGAUCAGUAGCUGGUCUGAGAGGAUGAUCAGCCACACUGGGACUGAGACACGGCCCAGACCCCUACGGGAGGCAGCAGUGGGGAAUAUUGGACAAUGGGCGCAAGCCUGAUCCAGCCAUGCCGCGUGAGUGAUGAAGGCCUUAGGGUUGUAAAGCUCUUUUAUCCGGGACGAUAAUGACGGUACCGGAGGAAUAAGCCCCGGCUAACUUCGUGCCAGCAGCCGCGGUAAUACGAAGGGGGCUAGCGUUGCUCGGAAUCACUGGGCGUAAAGGGCGCGUAGGCGGCGUUUUAAGUCGGGGGUGAAAGCCUGUGGCUCAACCACAGAAUGGCCUUCGAUACUGGGACGCUUGAGUCUGGUAGAGGUUGGUGGAACUGCGAGUGUAGAGGUGAAAUUCGUAGAUAUUCGCAAGAACACCGGUGGCGAAGGCGGCCAACUGGACCGGCACUGACGCUGAGGCGCGAAAGCGUGGGGAGCAAACAGGAUUAGAUACCCUGGUAGUCCACGCUGUAAACGAUGAAUGCUAGCUGUUGGGAUGCAUGCAUCUCAGUAGCGCAGCUAACGCAUUAAGCAUCCGCCUGAUGAAUGCUAGCUGUUGGGAUGCAUGCAUCUCAGUAGCGCAGCUAACGC
rnacentral:rRNA from 1 species